GAACCUGUACUGGCUUUUGUUCCUUCAAGUUCUGAUGAGUCUGAAGGAGAAACACUCAGUGAGAGAGAGGAUGAUUUAAGAACCAAAUGAAAGGGAAGGAAAAGAGGAAGUAAGAAAGUGAAAGGGCGCUGUUAUGUCCAUGAAGAACAAGAAAUAAAAAUCUAAGGAAAUAAUUGAAAGUCUUACAGUCACCGAAAGGAAAGAAUUUAGAUAUUGCUAGAAUUUUAUCAAAAAGGAAAGAGAAAAAGGAACAAGACCUGUGUCCAGUCCGAAGUGGUGCUCUUGUCACAGAUGCCCACAAUACGAGAGAGUGGAAGAUCGAGUUUGCUGUGGGAUGGUCCCAGAAUUAUGCUCAAGUCAAAGAC